AUUAUCCACUUUUCGAUUUCGUUUUCAAACUGACCCACAUGCAAAUAUAUGUUAAUUAGCACUGGGCGGGGCUACGGGGUACAUUUUAGGACAGCCUUAGACCUCCGAGUCAGAACGGCAUCAUUCCUCGAGCUAAACAACUUCGAGUCUCGAGAAAAACCAUCGUCAUGACUCAAAUCUGGUGAAACUGAACGUCAGAACAAACACCGUCAGAAAAAACUGGAAAUGUUAUACUGGCAUUUAUAUCGAGAUACAUAAUAGUUUUCUAAGUUAUACGAACCAGUAUAUGCUCGACCAGGCCUGCGUUUGGUCUGAUACCUUUUCUCUGAGGCCGUUUGGUCUCAUAUUCUCCCCUCUACAGGUUCUCUGCUGUAAGCCACUUGAGGCCGUGCGUUACUGCGAUUUUAUGACGGGGAAGGGACUUUUAGGCACUCCGCUUCACGUCGUGCGAAAGAACAACCUUCCGUGUGAUAAAAUCGCAGUAACUGUGGCUUAUUAGCGUUAUUUAAUUAUAAUUUUUAAAUUAAUGAUACGACUGUAACUAUGAUUUCAUGCAUUUUGAACGCAUAUAUCCGCAUGUGUUCAUAUUUGGCACUAUAGUGUACUGUUGGAGCACUGCAAUGAAAAAUGAAUGACUUGAAUGUAUCAGUCACGUGACGCGAGCAUUAAAGCUUCACUCUUCUACUCGUUCCUACCUUCACAGUCAGGGCGCUCUUAGAAAGGAAGACUCACAGAUUGGCUGCACGAAGUUUAGUUCAGUAACAAACAAACUGGUCGCCCGAACAGGGACUUGAACCCUGGACCCUCAGAUUAAAAGUCUGAUGCUCUACCGACUGAGCUAUCCGGGCUCUGGCAUGCAGGGAGUUCUUGCAUCAUGAGGACUUCCGGUUUACAACAUGAGCUACUUCUGAAGACUCAUGUAGAGGAGAAGGAGCUGCGGUGGUCCGAGUCCAUUCACAAUCAGAGCGCUCUCAGGAAGGAAGACUCACAGAUUGGCUGCAUGGAGCGAAGUUUAGUAACAAACAAACUGGUCGCCCGAACAGGGACUUGAACCCUGGACCCUCAGAUUAAAAGUCUGAUGCUCUACCGACUGAGCUAUCCGGGCUCUGGCGUGGAAGGAGUUCUUGCAUCAUGAGGACUUCAGGUUUACAACAUGAGCUACUUCUGAAGACUCAUGUAGAGGAGAAGGAGCUGCGGUGGUCUGAGCCCAUUCACAAUCAGGGUACUCUCAGGAAGGAAGACUCACAGAUUGGCUGCACGAAGUGAAGUUCAGUAACAAAUAAACAGGUCGCCCGAACAGGGACUUGAACCCUGGACCCUCAGAUUAAAAGUCUGAUGCUCUACCGACUGAGCUAUCCGGGCUCUGGCAUGCAGAGAGUCCUUGCGUCAUGAGGACUUCUGGUUUACAACAUGAGCUACUCAUGUAGAGGAGAAGGAGCUGCGGUGGUCUGAGUCCCAUUCACAAGUAAGGCUACUUCAGUGCUGACAGAUCUGGACUGCAGACAGGCCAGUUUAGCACCUGUACUUUUUUCAUAAGGAGCCAUGCUGUUGUAAU